rnacentral:rRNA from 1 species
CAGCAGCCGCCGCGGUAAUACGAAGGGUGCAAGCGUUACUCGGAAUUACUGGGCGUAAAGCGUGCGUAGGUGGUGGUUUAAGUCCGUUGUGAAAGCCCUGGGCUCAACCUGGGAAUGGCAGUGGAUACUGGCUCGCUAGAGUGUGUCAGAGGAUGGUGGAAUUCCCGGUGUAGCGGUGAAAUGCGUAGAGAUCGGGAGGAACAUCAGUGGCGAAGGCGGCCAUCUGGGACAACACUGACGCUGAGGCACGAAAGCGUGGGGAGCAAACAGGAUUAGAUACCCCAGUAGUCCCUGUCUCUUAUAC